rnacentral:rRNA from 1 species
GUAGGGUGCGAGCGUUGUCCGGAUUUAUUGGGCGUAAAGAGCUCGUAGGCGGUUUGUCGCGUCGGCCGUGAAAACCUGCAGCUUAACUGUGGGCGUGCGGUCGAUACGGGCAGACUUGAGUUCGGCAGGGGAGACUGGAAUUCCUGGUGUAGCGGUGAAAUGCGCAGAUAUCAGGAGGAACACCGGUGGCGAAGGCGGGUCUCUGGGCCGAUACUGACGCUGAGGAGCGAAAGCAUGGGGAGCGAACAGGAUUAGAUACCCUGGUAGUCCAUGCCGUAAACGUUGGGCGCUAGGUGUGGGGAUGGGUUCCACCGUUUCCGUGCCGUAGCUAACGCAUUAAGCGCCCCGCCUGGGGAGUACGGCCGCAAGGCUAAA